rnacentral:rRNA from 1 species
UACGGAGGGUGCAAGCGUUAUCCGGAAUCAUUGGGCGUAAAGCGUCCGCAGGUGGUUUGUUAAGUUGAUCGUUAAAUUUUGAAGCCCAACUUCAAAAGUGUGGUCAAAACUGGCAAACUAGAGCAAUUUAGAGGUACGCGGAAUUCUGUGUGUAGGGGUAAAAUCCGUAGAUACACAGAGGAACACCAAAAGCGAAGGCAGCGUACUGGAAAUUUGCUGACACUCAGGGACGAAAGCGUGGGUAGCGAACGGG